GAUGAACGCUAGCGAUAGGCUUAACACAUGCAAGUCGAGGGGCAGCACAAGGUAGCUUGCUAUCUGGGUGGCGACCGGCGCACGGGUGCGUAACGCGUAUGCAACUUGCCCUAUACAGGAGGAUAACCCGUCGAAAGACGGACUAAUACUGCGUAUGCACACAACUUGGCAUCAAGUGGUGAGGAAAGAAAUUCGGUAUAGGAUAGGCAUGCGUCCCAUUAGCUUGUUGGUGAGGUAACGGCUCACCAAGGCAACGAUGGGUAGGGGAACUGAGAGGUUUAUCCCCAACACUGGUACUGAGACACGGACCAGACUCCUACGGGAGGCAGCAGUGAGGAAUAUUGGUCAAUGGGCGCGAGCCUGAACCAGCCAAGUCGCGUGAAGGAUGACUGUCUUAUGGAUUGUAAACUUCUUUUAUACGGGAAUAACAAGAGUCACGGGUGACUCCCUGCAUGUACCGUAUGAAUAAGCAUCGGCUAACUCCGUG
rnacentral:rRNA from 1 species